rnacentral:misc_RNA from 1 species
GUUAUAGUAAAAUAGAGUCAUGUUCCAGCCUUUUCAACUGUAGUGACAAAAAUUCACCCUAUUGCUGCCAAGGACAUAAAAUUCCAUUUCUUUUUAUGAUAGCAAACAAACUCUUAUAUAUUUCACCUAAAGUGCAGCAAAUUCAGAUAAAGGUUUCAAGAUCUUAACUCUGCUCAAUGACCAGAAAACUCAACACAAACUUAUAAAAAGCUAGCAAUAUAUAUAUAUAUGAACUGGAAUUGAAUUAGAAUAUUUAGAGA